CUCGGUAAACUUCGUCCGUAACUUUCCGCGUUCCACCGUAACGCUUCGCAUUUUUAACUCGAAAUUGUACGCUGUAAUUAAACCUCGCGAAUUUUUUCGCGUGCAAAAAAAAAUGCAGGUGGAAAGAAAGAAAAUUGUGAACAGUUCCGGACGGUCGUAAAAAUAAUUUACACGCGUCUCUGGUGUCAGGUCGGGCGGCCGUCUUAAGCAGCGAUAACGGGUCCCAAUUAGCCUGGCUGUGAAACUACAUAUUCCAUCUCCCAUUUACGACGACAUAAUGCUACCUGUUUCACGCGAAGCCACGUAUAAUUGCAGACUAAUGCUCGAGCGUCCGCAAUCGUGGCAGGUGGCACAUAAUCGUGGCCUCGUAACCCUCGAACGAGUUAAUCCGUGAGGCGUCGCGGUGCGUCGCGUCGCGACGCGACGCUUCCAACCACCAACCGUCAUUGUAGUCGUGACUGGUGAGAUCGUCGAGUUAGAGGCGACGCGACGUUUAAAAGUAGCUAUAGCAAGUCUGAUCCGCUUACCGGGUUUAAAAGUCGAGUGCUAACAGCGUAAUUCAUCCCAUCAAGGAAAGAAGGGUCAGAGGAAAUCGGCCAUGAAAAGUUUCUGAGGAAAAUGGAAAGAAAGAAGUAGCUGGAACUGCUAGUGGACGAACGAAUAAAGCUAUUUAACAAAUUUACACUAUGGGUGGCAAUAUUGAGUAAUCUGACGAAAAUAAUGAUAAAGAUGAUAAGGAAGCGUUAAGCACUGUUCUUAACAGAUUAAUUUGUUCUGUAACACUGGGACAUAAGUAAAUUACACCAUAACUUACAGCGAUGGUAAAUUUACAGCCAUGAAUAUAAUCUUCAAAGUUACACGAUUUAUCACUAUUCCAGAAUUUAUGUGGUAAAGGUAUCUCCUAUUAAGUAAAUUAGUUCAACACUAUCCACGGUGUACAGAUAUUCUGGGAAAACUUGUCAAUCAGAGACAGAGAGAAUUAACGUGAAAUCUUCUCGUGCCAGUUAGUCGGUACGAAUAGUACUCGAUUAAGCAGUUUGCCAAGUCGCACAACAGUUCGAUGUGAGAGGAGCUUAAACUUGGAGUUGAUGACACCUGUAUUGCUACCGUGAGACAGAGACUAAGAAACAGAGGUACGAAUAGAGGAUGGCUGAAUUUGCUAGGAUUUCCCUGACUGAUCAACGUUUCGUUAUCCUCCCCGAUCAGCUUGGUAAAAAGCACUCCGCAUGGAACAAAAUAUUCAACGAACAAGAAAAAUGUCCCGAAGGACAGUACGAAAAAAUGUUUAUCAGCCGGUUGCUUUGCAUACACGAAGGGAACCAUGACUGGUAGGGGGAGGCCGGAGCAUUGUGCGCAGAAUUUCCACGGGGGAGGAGAAUUCAUGGGGUAAUUCCGUGUUCGAUACACCGUGUGCGCUUAAGGCUGCGAUGUUACCGGCGUCACAUAAGCGUAAUACCGGAUAAGCCGCAAUAAUGCAGACCCGCUGUGCGUGCAUGCGAAAGUGGAAUGGAUCCUGCUGCUUGGAGAGCUUCAAGAGCCAAACGUCCGUGGAGCGUAAUCAUUGUAGCGAGAUACGAAUGGGGCCCUUCGCGAACCCACGUACAAAUCCGCGAAAACUUUUUCCUAGCGCGGUGAAAGCUUUGCGAGCUUCAGAAUCGUCCGUCGUGCGAUUGACUCUUGCGCGAUAAGCUUUUCUAGUUUUACCGCAUUUUAAGAUAAUAUUAAACUAAUUUGUUAUGGAAUAACUUCCAAUAAUCAGAACAAUGCUGGCGAAGGUUACCGUCAGCUAUUUAAUUAAUUUAAUUAGUUAUCAAAUAAUUGAUAAUACCUAUUACGGUGUAACGCUCUCAAAAUCUACCAUUUACUGCCCGUUAAUUUAAUCGAAUCAUGAAAUUAAUUAUUUUGCAGAACAUUUGGUAGCGACACUACACAAACGUUAACUGAUAUCUAUUAAUUUAAUCAUUAUCACUGCAUCAUUGAAUAUUCUCGUUCCCAGGGCUCCAAGAUGUUUUUCCACGAACGCGAUAUUAGGAUUUCCAGUCUAGUGUUAAUGAAUCAAGGAAUCUUCCCGAGAAAAUGCGGAAACAAUUGGCAAGAAGAUCAACGUUCCCCAUUCAGCCUCCGCUAUUAACUUACCCUCGGCACGUAGACGAGUAUGGGGGUGAAAUAAAGAGAAGAGAAAAAAAAAUGAAGAAGGACACGGAGUCGCGGUCGCCAUAAUUUAGCGUUGGUAUUACUACUGAAUUCCCGGUUACUUUAUCUCUAGCCGACGUUCUUUCUCCAAGAAUGUUUACGAUAAAGGGGUGAGAUCCUUUGUUUCCGCAUUUCCGACAUCGCUUUGAAAUUACUUUGCCGCCUUGGCCAAAUUCUCCUAUCCUUUUGUCCUAUUUCACCGUCUACUUAAAGUGUAUUUAAAACAAUACCGGUUAAUCGGCGAUGUUUCCAGAGAAAAGGAAUCCCGAGGACUCUUUCAAGGUAUAUCGUCCGAAAUGAAAUCAUAAAAACUACGCGAAAGAGACGGAUAAGGAGAAGAAGGAAGAUAGAUCUGGCCGUGACAAAAUCGGUGCCGUAAAAUGGCGGGCACAAUGAAAGAAUAAAAUCCUUUUCGUGGGGGUAAUUAGCGUGAGAAGCAUUAAGGAGACACGAGGCAAUUUCGAGGGACCAUUUUUCACGGUAAUCUAAGGCACUGCCGCCCACACCACCGGCUUGGAUCGGUGUCUUCAUUUCGCUUCACGGUCCGACGGUGAAAAUCGUCCAGAAUACCCGCCCCUCGGCGAAGGAUUAGGAACCGUGAACACAAUGGGGAAAUGGAAAAAAUCGUCCAGGAAAUGGUGGACCAUAGCUUGGGACGUCUUAGGACGGCUCGUUUACGAUUUUCUUAAUUCGAUAAACAUUGUGCUAAUCGAUGCAAUUGCCGCUCUUAUGGACCGCCUGGAGCUUCGAUAGAAAUACCUGUAUAACCGGAGGACUCGUGAAUUCCGUCAAUUGUUCUGCGACUCGGUCAAGGCUGGUCGAGAAACGGGCGCAUAAAUUUCGUCUGAACGGCAUCAGCCCGAGAACGAUUUUCAGCAUUAUCCAGGCAGGCGAAGGAUAAUCCGGAUUUGUGCAAUCGGGCCCUCAGCUGCAACGGUUCAGCAACCGGAUGUGCAAACCGGCUCGGAUAAUAACUAGCCGCUUAUCGGACACUUAAGACGAUUUCGCAACGCUACUUGAAGCGUCUUUGAAACGCCUGCAGAAAUCGGAAAUGAUCCCGACCCUCCUUCACGAGAUCUCCAAUUCGAUUCAAUUUGAUCAGCGACAACGUUUGUUAACGUUUCAAAAUUCUUUCGAAACGAUACUCGAUGAAAUCGUAAAGUUUCUUUAACGAUCGUUUACGUAAUCAGCAUUGGUACGUUGCGUUUCGCGGUGGGAAUUAACCAUGAUUAUCAUGUGUAAUUAACGCGGCCGGGACGCAGUUUUGAAUUUAACAGAAAUUCGCUGAUGAAAGUCCACGAGAAGGUAUUGUUAAAAAUUUAAGCGACGCUCGCGAGGCAAUUUCAAAUGUAAAUUAUGGUCAGUGACUGGGAAAUGUGGCUGGGUUCCGCUCGUCGUUUCACAUAAAUCGCCUUGUCAACUAUCGUGUACCGUUUUUCUUUUUCCUUAGAAAUAACUUUGCUAUUCUUUGCUUUCCUCCCAUCAUUACAUGCUUCAAUUUUGAACUGAAAUAGACUGAAAAUUAAAGAAAACAGUGCAGAAACGCUAACGUUCUCCAGCUUCUUCAACUAUACUCAAAGUUCUGGACGAACGUCUUAAAGGGACAGAAUUAAUUUAUCUUAGAAAUUACGAUCAUCGUUCAGAUUAGAGCAGCUUAGAACUCGACAAAGAACGAACCAGGACUCGUUAAACUUUCCAGCUUCUGCAACAUUAAUAUUUAUAAGAUAACCUAUGCAAACGGUCGUCUGGGAGCUCGUCGAGCCUUUGUUAAGCUCUAUUAAAAUAUGUGAUCAACCAACACUCGUCCCUUUGCGUUGUGCGUGUACCCCCCCGGCCAGAAGUUCUCCAGUCUCGAUGGAAUUAAUUACAAUUACAGCAUCGUGUCUAGUUCGUUCUUCAGUCUCCGUUGUUCGUCUCGCACCUGCCACCUUUGUAACCUGCGAAUAAAGAGUAAUUCGAUGAAGGAGGGUUGAAAUUGUCGCAAAGUCUAUCUACCUAUUGUAAAAUAACCUCUUUGAUGAAAAUCCAAAUUAUUCGAUAAGAAAAAAGAAAAUACGAUACGUUACACGAUCAUCAUUUCCGAGAAACAGGGAAAUUUAUCGAGUAACAGAGAGGAAAGACUUGCGGAAGUACCGCGGUAACGAUACAAGGUCCGGAAUGGCGGGGAAGCAAGAAGGGGUGCGAUUAAUCGUCGACUAGCUGCUGGCACGCUCGAUUUCCUCGGGCGUCGAAAAAAGAGUGGAAGGAAACAAUUCGCGUUCUCGCGGAUUCCUUUUAAUUAAUUACACCGGUAACCAUCCAGACUGAAAAUAAUCGGAGCCCAUCCACGCCUGCGUUUGUCUUUGGUCGAUUAAUUAAUAUUGCAUCGGUCCCAUCGGCCAAAAAGGGGGUGGAGAGUCGCGUCGCGUCGUCGCUCGGUCCGGUAACGUCGACAUCAAAGCCGGCUUGAAAUUCACCCUAUUACACUCGACCUCAAUUUCAUUAACCAAAAGUACCGCGGUCCUCGAUCCCUUCCCCCCCUUUCAUCCCUCUUCGCGUCGAUGUGCAAACGUGUUCGUCUCGAAAACGCGUUCGCAGGUGGCCGUACAAGUGGUCGCGGCUCACAGACAGGUCUGGAAAUACGCUUAUAAUCGCGCGUUCAUCGCAAAGAUACAUCUCGUGGCCCUCAUUUCGCGAAACAUGAAAGCGUAAACCGUCCUACCAGUUAACGACCGUCUCAUCUCUUCAUUUUUCGAAUGAAUUCCGCGGAGAUAAGGCGUUCACAUCCCCUUUACGCUCGUAUACACGGAAAAUUUCACGUGGAAGAUGUCGCAUAGGGUCGAGUAAGAACAAGCAAUCCCCCCGAGGAUGGGAUACGGCUAUUUAUUAUACGCCGUCGUAACACCGAAUUCAUUGAACGGCGAAUUCAUUCGGCCGGCCAUUUUACGUGGAAUAAAGCUUGAAAAAAAAAAAGCCUCAGGAGGCAUAAAGCUGGCACGGGGUCACGA